UGCCCCUUGUGGUGACGGUGCUGAAGGAGACAUUAGAAGUGCGAGUGCGUGGCCAAUACACCUAUAGGAAGCCUGUUCAGGGGACAGUCCAGAUCAGCCUGUGUCAAAAAGCCUGGUGUUUCUGAUUUAGUCAUAAUGAAGCCCAACAAUUGUGCAUGGAGUUUACUGGCCAGACGGAGAAGAAUGGAUGCUUUUCCAAGAAGGUGUCAAUGUCUGUCUCAUUUUAACCUGACUUCCUCUGGAUAUAGAAAGAAGCUCCAGGCCACAGCCUCACUAACAGAGGAAGGGACAGGUACGAUCAAAU